rnacentral:rRNA from 1 species
GAUGAACGCUGGCGGCGUGCCUAAUACAUGCAAGUCGAGCGAACAGACGAGGAGCUUGCUCCUCUGACGUUAGCGGCGGACGGGUGAGUAACACGUGGAUAACCUACCUAUAAGACUUGGAUAACUUCGGGAAACCGGAGCUAAUACCGGAUAAUAUAUUGAACCGCAUGGUUCAAUAGUGAAAGACGGUUUUGCUUUCACUUAUAGAUGGAUCCGCGCCGCAUUAGCUAGUUGGUAAGGUAACGGCUUACCAAGGCAACGAUGCGUAGCCGACCUGAGAGGAGGAUCGGCCACACUGGAACUGAGACACGGUCCAGAAUCCUACGGGAGGCAGCAGUAGGGAAUCUUCCGCAAUGGGCGAAAGCCUGACGGAGCAACGCCGCGUGAGUGAUGAAGGUCUUCGGAUCGUAAAACUCUGUUAUUAGGGAAGAACAAAUGUGUAAGUAACUAUGCACGUCUUGACGGUACCUAAUCAGAAAGCCACGGCUAACUACGUG